CCUACGGGUGGCAGCAGUGGGGGAUAUUGCACAAUGGCGGGAACCCUGAUGCAGCGACGCCGCGUGGGUGACGGAGGGUUUCGGCGCGUAAAGCUCUAUCGGCAGGGAAGAAGAUGACGGUACCUGACCAAGAAGCCCCGGCUAACUACGUGGCAGCAGCCGCGGCAAUACGUAGGGGGCAAGCGUUAUCCGGAUUUACUGGGUGUAAAGGGGGCGCAGACGGGUAUGCAAGCCAGGAGUGAAAGCCCGGGGCCCAACCCCGGGACUGCUGUUGAAACUGGAUGGCUGGAGUACAGGAGGGGCAGGCGGAAUGCGUAGUGUAGCGGUGAAAUGCGUAGAUAUUAGGAGGAACACCGGUGGCGAAGGCGGCAUACUGGACUGGGACUGACGUUGAGGCCCGAAGGCGUGGGGAGCGAACAGGAUUAGAUACCCGAGUAGUC
rnacentral:rRNA from 1 species